GACGAACGCUGGCGGCGUGCCUAAUACAUGCAAGUAGAACGCUGAAGAGAGGAGCUUGCUCUUCUUGGAAGAGUUGCGAACGGGUGAGUAACGCGUAGGUAACCUGCCUUGUAGCGGGGGAUAACUAUUGGAAACGAUAGCUAAUACCGCAUAACAAUGGAUGACCCAUGUCAUUGAUUUGAAAGGGGCAACUGCUCCACUACCAGAUGGACCUGCGUUGUAUUAGCUAGUAGGUGAGGUAACGGCUCACCUAGGCGACGAUACAUAGCCGACCUGAGAGGGUGAUCGGCCACACUGGGACUGAGACACGGCCCAGACUCCUACGGGAGGCAGCAGUAGGGAAUCUUCGGCAAUGGGGGCAACCCUGACCGAGCAACGCCGCGUGAGUGAAGAAGGUUUUCGGAUCGUAAAGCUCUGUUGUAAGUCAAGAACGAGUGUGAGAGUGGAAAGUUCACACUGUGACGGUAGCUUACCAGAAAGGGACGGCUAACUACGUGCCAGCAGCCGCAGUAA
rnacentral:rRNA from 1 species